UACGUAGGGUGCGAGCGUUAAUCGGAAUUACUGGGCGUAAAGCGCGCGUAGGCGGCUCUUCAAGUCAGGCGUGAAAGCCCCGGGCUUAACUCGGGAACUGCGCUUGUGACUGGCGUGCUGGAGUGUGGCAGAGGGAGGUGGAAUUCCACGUGUAGCAGUGAAAUGCGUAGAGAUGUGGGAGGAACACCGAUGGCGAAGGCAGCCUCCGAUGG
rnacentral:rRNA from 1 species